rnacentral:rRNA from 1 species
UACGAAGGGGGCUAGCGUUGCUCGGAAUCACUGGGCGUAAAGGGUGCGUAGGCGGGUCUUUAAGUCAGGGGUGAAAUCCUGGAGCCUCAACUCCAGAACUGCCUUUGAUACUGAAGAUCUUGAGUUCGGGAGAGGUGAGUGGAACUGCGAGUGUAGAGGUGAAAUUCGUAGAUAUUCGCAAGAACACCAGUGGCGAAGGCGGCUCACUGGCCCGAUACUGACGCUGAGGCACGAAAGCGUGGGGAGCAAACAGG